AUGCAGGCCGUGAAAGAUAAGCUCCAAGACAUGAAUGCCAUGCGCAAGGCCAAAGCAGAAGCAAAGGCCGAGGAAAAGGCGGAGAAGGAAAUUAUGCAAGCCAGAAAGGACAUAGCUAAGGAGGUUAGAUUGGCAAAAGAAGCUGAAGCAGCUAUGGACUUACAUGUGACAAAAGCAGGAGAAAGAGCAGAGAAAGAAAUACAAAAGCAUGCACCCAUUGAUCCAAAUGCAAAUUCAGUAAAUACAGUUGAUACAAUGCAACCUCCAUCAGAUAAUCCCACAUACACAGCUAUGUGA